CUAUUCGCGGAGCCUGGACACCAUCCUCAGGGGCCGGUUGACAGAGACCCCCACCGUGGAGAAGCUGCAGCACCUCCUGGAGCACGUCCAUCGCUCUCUCCUGGCAAACAACCCCCAGGAGAGAGCCAGGGCCGUCCAGACCAGCGCGGCCCUGCUCCAGAGUGCCAUCUCCCUGCCUGGAUUUGACACCUCCUCCGCCUUCUCCAAGGCAGGCGAAUUCGUUCUGCAGCUGGGUCUCUGGAUAUCCCACCCAGCCAGUGAUAUCAGUCAGCAUGCCAGGGCUGGGAUCUACUGGCUUUACUGGCUCCUGCUCCGGAAGAGGGGGCUCAACACCAGCGAGGCCCCAGACUUGUGGUGCCGGGAUGGGCUCCAUGACCCCGAGCGCCUGG